GACCACUUGAGGUCGGGAGAUAGAGACCAGCCUGGCCAACAUGGUGAAACCCCAUCUCUACUAAAAAUACAAAAAAAAAAAAAUAGCUGGGUGUGGUGUUGGGUGCCUGUGAUCCCAGCUACUCUGGAGUCUGAGGCAGGAGAAUUCCUUGAACCUGGGAGGCAGAGGUUGCAGUGAGCCGAGAUCCUGCCAUUGCACUCCAGCCUGGGUGACAGAGUGAGACUCUGUCUCAAAAAGAAAAGAAGAGAAGAGAAAAGAAAAGAAAAAAAAAGGGAGGGAGGGGAGGGAAAGGAGGAGACCCUUGGGAACGGGGAAGUGGAGAAGCCAGGCCCCAGGGUCCUUUGGCAUGAUCAUGAAAUAUCUUUUUUCUUUGAGAAAUGCAGCCCCUGGCUCCAAUCAGCUAAUUUUCAAACCUUUGAUCCAUUGAUCCAUUGGGCAGUCUGGGCUUGCUUGGUUCUUGGUUCAGUGACAGACAGCAGAGGGUGAGAGAAAUGGCACAGGGCUGAGAGCCAUGAAGUCACUGGGCAUAGGUGAACGGUGUGACCACACCAGGCCAGGGAAGAAACACGUGCCCAGCCUGCCAUCUGCCCUCCUGUCUUGGAGCCAGGUCUUUCCACCAGCUUCCUUCAUCUUUUAACACUUGGUGAAAAGGAAUGACACGUCAGUCAAAGCCCCUGGCCGGUGCUCAUGGAGCAUCUGGCAGGAGGAAGCCCCUUCCUGGCUGGCCUCCCAUUCAUCAGUCAGCGCCGCAGGCUGGGCCAGGGACAGCUGUGGAACCUGAGCUGGGAGGCAGCUGUGAAAGGCAAGAAACAAGGAAAGGGGACAGAAGUCACCCGGUCGGUGAGCCAGCUCGGAGGCAGGCAGAGAAAGCAAGAGAAGGGGCCUCUCCUGCCGUCAUCCUAACCUCCCAGGAAACAACCAAAAUGUUCUCCAACAGGUGAAUGGUGAAAUAAACGGUGGAACAUGUAUACUACAGAAAACUGCUCGGCAAUGAAAAGGAAUGAAUUAUUGAUACAUGCAAUAGUUUGAACUGAUCUCAAAGUCAUUAUGUUAAAUGAGAAAAAAAAAAGCCAAGUUCAAAAGGUGACAUACUGUAUGAUUCCACUUAUAUAACACUCUUGAAAUGACAAAAUUAUAGUGUUGGAAAACAGGUUAGUGGUUGCCAGAGGUUAGGGAUGGUUGGAGAGACGGGGAUAGGCGUGACUAUAAAGAGGCAGCACAAGAAAGAUUUUUAUGGUGAUGAAAUAAUUCUGCAUAUUGACUGUGAGGUGCUUACAAAUAUACACAUAUGAUAAGAUGACAUAGAACUAUACACACACAUUGUACCAGUGUCAAAUUCAUAGUUUUAAUAUUAUACUAUAACCAUCUAAAAUGUAACCACGGGGGGAAACUGAGUGAAGAGCACAUGGAUCCUCUUUGUACUACCUUUGUAACUUCCUGUGAACUUAUAAUUAUUUCAAAAUAAAAAGUUUAAUUAAAAAUCAGUUGCAUUUCUAUAUACAAGUAAUGAACAAUUGGGAAAUAAAGGUUUAAAAACUUCAUUUACAAAUAGUACUUAAAAAUACUUAGAAAUGAAUUUAAAGAAAGAUGUUCCAGACCUAUAACCUUAAAACUACAAAAUAUUAUUAAGGGAAAUUAAAGAAAACCUAAAUAAAUGGAGAGGCAUACCAUGUUCAUGGAUUUGAAGAUGCAAUAUUGUUAAAAGUUUUUUCUAAAAACUGACCUAUAGACUCAAUACAAUCCUCAUCAAAAUCAUAACAGACUAUUUUGGAGAAACUGAUAAAUUGAUUCUAAAAUAAUAUGAAAAAGCAAAGAGUUAAAAAUUGCCAAAAUAACUUAAAAAAUAAAAGCAAGUUUGAAGUGCUUGCAUUACCUGAUUUCAGGAUUACUAUAAAACCACAAUAAUCAAAAUUGUAUGGCAUUGGCAUGGUUAUAGAUCAGUAGAACAGAGUAGAGAGUGCAGGAAUAGACUUGCAUUUAUAUGCUCAAUUAAUUUUUUUUACAAAAGUGCCAAGACAAUUGAAUGAGGAAUGUAUAGUCUUUUUACAAAGUGGUACUGGAUAUCUUUAUGGGGACGAAUUAAGUUUUAAACCUUAUUUCACAUCAUAUGCAAAAUGAUCAAAAUAGAUAAUAGACCUAAACAUAAGAGCUAAAACAAUAAGAAUUUCUGGAAGAAAACAGCAGAAAAUCUUUGUGAUAUUGUGUUGGUAAAGAUUACCUAAACAUGACACACAAAGAUUAUCUAAACUUAACACAAACAGCAGUAAUCAUAAAAGAAAAAUAUAAUAAAAUAGAUUUCAUAAAAAUUAAAAACUUCUAUUCACUUAAGGACACAUUUAAGAAAAUGAAAAGACAAGCCAGAGACUAGGAGAAAAUAUCUGUAAAAUAUAUAUAUAGUGAAAGGCUUGUAUGCAGAAUAAUAAGAAAGCAAACAAUACAGAUUUUAAAAAUGGACAGAAUAUUUGAACAGACACUUCCCACAGAAAAUAUAUGGGCAGCCAAUAUGAACACGACUAGGCAACAAGGAAAUACAAAUCAAAACUACAAUGAAAUACCCAAUAUACCCAUUAGAAUGGGUUUUUUUUUAAACUGUCAUCGCAAGGAGUUAGUGAAGAUGUAGAAAAACUACACUCUCAAACACUGCCAGUAGAAAUGUGAAACGGUAUGGCCCCUUUGGAAAAGUGUUUGGCAGUGUUCUUAAAGUUAAACAUACACCCAUUACAUAGCCCAGAAAUUCCACUCCUAGGUACUUACCCAAGAGAAUGAAAACAUAGACUUGUAUGUGAAUGUUCACAGCAACAUUAUUCAUAACCACAUAUUCAUAAUAGCCAAACUCUGGAGGCCGGGUAUGGUGGCUCACACCUGUAAUCCCAGCACUUUGGGAGGCUGAGGUGGGUGGGUCACUUGAGCUCAGGAGAUUGAGACCAGCCUGGCCAACAUGGUGAAACCCCAUCUCUACUAAAAAUACAAAAAUUAGCUGGGCAUGGUGGCGGGCACCUGUGAUCCCAGCUACUGUGGAGGCUGAGGCAGGAGAAUCGCUUGAACCCUGGAGGUGGAGGUUGCAGUGAGCCAAGAUCAUGCCAUUGCACUUCAACCUGGGCAACAAGAGCAAAACUCUGUCUCAAAAAAUAAAUAAAUCUGGAAGCAACCCAAAUGUCCCUCAAUUGGUGAGUAGACAAACUGUGGUUAUCCUAUGAAUUACAUCAGAGCAGUUUUUCAGAUUUUUUAAUGGGCUGGGACUCAAGGCAAAAGCAAAAAUGGAAUUGAUUUAAAUAAAUAAAAAUAAAAGAUUUCAUCUUUUCUUCCCCUCUCACAAUCCCCUCAGGUCACUCUCUGACACACAAAGGAAUGGCAAAAAUGCAAUCCAACAUUGAAUCAUAAAUUACUAGACACCAGCAGCUGUGCUAGGUGCUGGGACACCAAGAGGGAUCAUACCUGGUUUCUGCCCUUGAGAAGCUCACAACGUAAACAGGGAUAGAGGUGGGUGCACAGUGAAUGCUCAUACAAAUCAGACUGCAGCGCGGCAAAGCACAAGACAGUGCUUCACUCGGCUGGGGGGAUAGUCAGUACUGACUGUGUUAGGAGUUUGAAGACUGUGGCCUCACAGAGGAGGUGACAAUGAGUAGAACCUUGAUGAGACUUUUUUUUUCUUUUGAGAGACAGGGUUUCGCUCUGUCACCCAGGCUGUGGCAGGAGUGCAGUGGCACAAUCAUAGCUCACUGCAGCCUCAAACUCCUGGCUUAAGUGAUCCUCCCACCUUAGCCUCCCUAGUAGCUAGGACUACAGGUGCACUGCCACACCUGGCUAAGUUUUUUAAUUUUUGUAGAGAUGGGAUCUUGCUGUGUUGCUCGGGCUGGUCUCAAACUCCUGGGCUCAAGCAAUCCUUCCACCUUGGCCUCUCAAAGUGCUGGGAUUGCAGGAAUGAGUCACUGUGCCCAGCCAGGAUAAGAUAAAUUAAAUAAGCAGAGAAGGUGGAGAGAUGUGGCAGAGGAAACGGCAGAGGGAACAUCCCAGCAGUGCCCCCUGUGACAUUUGGGGGAGUCAUGGGUAUUUUGAUGGGGCAGGUGCUUAGGAGCAAACUAAUGGGAAAAGAAGCAACGCAGAGCAUUUGGUCCCUGGUUUAGCUGUUUGCUGUCUGAUGUUCUCUGUGUUUGGGCAUCAGCGUCCAAGCCCUGCUUAUGCCCACUGGGCCAGUCUCUCAGGAGAGCAACAGGGUACCCUAUACCUAUUCAUUCAGAGCCAGCAGCCAGGUGAUUACUCAGCAUAAAGAAACUUCUUUUGAGCCACAUCAUCCAUGACAUUGGAUCCAAACUGCCAAGUCCACAAGGCUGCAAAAUUUCCCCAAUGUAUUCAUUUGGGUUCCAGUUAAAUGGACAAUAAUGAUCCUUUAGGAGUGUGUGGUGAAGUGUGAACACAUCCAGCACCUUCUGCUUUACAAAACACUUUCUCACCUGUUGACCAGAUGACUCUACCCAUGCUCCCACCAGUUAGGGAGGCAGAGAAAAUGUACCCCAUUUGAUAGAUGAGGAAACAGGCUAGAGUUGCCAACUAGGUUCAAGGUCGAUGUCCCCUGUCAUAGUGGCUGAAGGACAUAAACAGUGUGAAGGUCAGGGGCGGGAGAAGAAGUGAUUUAUUGACCAGGUCUCCAUCCAGCCUUUUUGGGAUAUGACUCUUUCAGCAGAAUGUCAAAAAGUCUAAUUUUCUGUGGACUCCAGAAAAGUUGAUUUUGAUCAGAUCAACAAGCCACCUCAGAGUGUUGAACUCAUACCCUCUGGCUUUUUCUGCUAAUGACUAUGAAAUUCACAUUCAGUGAUGAACCUCUUCUCAGGAUGGAAUGCUUUUAUAGUAAUGCCAAUUAAUAACUUUCUUCUUCUCCUAGCCCUCUUUGUGAUGUUGAAUCACAGGGCAUAGAUGCUGGCAGGGCUUUAGAGGCACUAGUAAUGUGGUUUUUAAAUUUUUUUCAUUGACUGAUCAGCAUCUUUCAUCUCCUUGGUUCAUAACCUGUGAAGUAGGCAACAGCCUGGAUCAUUAUCCCCAUCUUAUACGCGAAAUAACCAAGAAAAAAAGCGGCUAAGCCACUUACCCAAGUUGUAGAGCUAGGUCUAGAACAUGUCUUAUGACUCCCAAACAAUGCUCAAUCUACUACAUCAAACUUCCUUUCUCUUCCACCCUGCAGAUUAGAUGCAAAUUACUACAUGCUUGAGCUUCACCGAGAAGGAAACCAGCUCAGAGAGGAGUAGAGGUCUGGCCUUCAUGGCAGUGUGGGAGAGCUCCUUGACUCUUACCCUCCCUCCAGAGACAGAAACAGUUUCCCUUCAAACCAUCAUGAGGAUUGUUGCACGCCAGCUCUGUCUUAACUUAAAUAUGACUCCAGGUCAAUAUCAAAAGGAAGGUGACAGUGUCCACCUACCCAUUCCCCAGUAGCUGGCCACAUUGUGCCGUCCUAGCCACAGCUGAGCCUGCUCCAGGCCAUUCUCUUGAAACACAUACUAGCAUCCUCCCCCGAGCCCAGCUUCCACUGACAGGCAGGCUCUGAAUCCAGCAGGCUGCUGCCUGAAGCAGCUCCCAGCAGGAGCUAGAUGGAGGCCGGCAAGGUUACAGGUGCUUUUCAUCCAGCCUCACAGGAGAGCACCAACUUCCUGCUGCUAGAAAUUUGUCUGCAAAUUUUUGUCUUCAUUCAAAUCGAUGGAUAGAAGCCGGGAGACACUGGGGUGAUAUGAUAACUUGAUUAAGCCCCAGAACAGAUGACACGGUAGCUUAAAGGCCAUGUGCUCUCCUCCUUAACCUCUCCCAGGGAGACCGCAGGCUUUGCUAGUAAUUGGCCCAUUGUCCUUCCACUGCGAUUCCUGCACAAGCCGGGAAUCGCCUGGCUAGGGGCUCCUCUCUGGGGCAGCCUUAAAUACUCUCAGACCAGUCAGGCCUAGGGAACUGUGAAAAAUACCUGUGCAAUGGAACAUACCAGAGUCACAUUCUGAGAAGCUAAAAAUGACCCUUACUGAAAACAAUGACCUAGGAUAUUCUCCCAUCCUCAAGCACAACUGUAAAUUGCAACACACACAGGGAUGAAAGCCCAAGACUGUUAAAAGGUGUUCAAACUUUUAGAAUAUUCCGUUCUUUUGGGGGAAAAUCCCCCUGACCUUUCAUUUUUGUCGAGGUUGGUGUCUCCUGCUGGAUUACCCAUUAUUGAGAAUGUUUUUGAUCAACCACUUCCAGAUACUCUGGCAUUCACUGGUGUGAGCCCGUCUUGGGUGAGCUAAGGUGGAUACCUGUGUAUAUCAUUGCCUCUGGAAAAGAGAUAGGUGGGUUCCAAGCCAGAAAGAAGAGUGCUAAAUAGAAGAUAUAAGUAGAGCUGGGCGUGGGGUCGUGAACAGUGGCUCAGGCCUGUAAUCUCAGCACUUUGGGAGGCUGAGGCGGGCAGAUCACCUGAGGUCAGGAGUUGGAGACUGGCCUGGCCAACAUGCCAAAACCUCGUCUCUACUUUAAAAAAAAAAAAAAGGGCCGGGCACAGUGGCUCACGCCUGUAAUCCCAGCACUUUGGGAGGCCAAGGCGGGCGGAUCCCGAGGUCAGGAGGUCGAGACCAUCCUGGCUAACAUGCUGAAACCUCGUCUCUACUAAAAAUACAAAAAAAAAAAAAAAAUUAGCCAGGCGUGGUGGCGGGCGCCUGUAGUGCCAGCUACUCGGGAGGCUGAGGCAGGAGAAUGGCGUGAACCCGGGAGACGGAGCUUGCAGUGAGCGCGGCACUGCACUCCAUUCAGCCUGGUCGACAGAGCGGGACUCCGUUUCAAAAAAAAAAAAAAAAAAGUAGCCGGGUGUGGUGGCGGACGCCUGUAAUCCCAGCUACUUGGGAGGUUGAGGCAGGAGAAUCGCUUGCACCUGGGAGGCGUAGGCUUCGGAAAGAGGAGGCUUCAGUGAGCCGAGACCGCAUCACUGCACUCCAGCCUGGGCGACAAAGCGAGACUCCAUCUAAAAAAAAAAAAAAAAGAUGUAAGUAGAUAUUUGCUGUGAUGAUAGUUUUGCAUUCUAUUUUAAAAUCUUCUGUCAGUCUUUGUUCAGUGAUAGACUUAAGACAUUUAAGAGCUGAGAGGGAGCGGAACACGAAUCCCCUCAACCCAUUUUUUUUUAGGAAUAUAUGAGAGGAAUAAAAUUCGCUACUGUCUGCUCAAAGUUUGAGUUGGACCCUUGCUGGGGAAUGUGAAAAACAAAGCUGUUGGUGACGCUUUGAAAAUCAGCAAGGUGUACUAUUAAAGGUUAAAUAAAUGCUAUUUUAAAUUCUCAUUCAUUAUGAUUUAUUGCUCAAGUCUCCCUAUGAGAAAGAG
rnacentral:lncRNA from 10 species